GUCAAGUCAUCAUGGCCCUUAUGUCCAGGGCUACACACGUGCUACAAUGGGCGGUACAGAGCGGAGCGAAGCCGCGAGGCGCAGGCGAAUCGCUUAAAGCCGGUCUCAGUUCGGAUUGAAGUCUGAAACCCGACUUCAUGAAGUUGGAAUCGCUAGUAAUCGCGCAUCAGCAUGGCGCGGUGAAUACGUUCCCGGGCCUU
rnacentral:rRNA from 1 species